UGCAGUCGAGCGGACAGAUGGGAGCUUGCUCCCUGAUGUUAGCGGCGGACGGGUGAGUAACACGUGGGUAACCUGCCUGUAAGACUGGGAUAACUCCGGGAAACCGGGGCUAAUACCGGAUGGUUGUCUGAACCGCAUGGUUCAGACAUAAAAGGUGGCUUCGGCUACCACUUACAGAUGGACCCGCGGCGCAUUAGCUAGUUGGUGAGGUAACGGCUCACCAAGGCGACGAUGCGUAGCCGACCUGAGAGGGUGAUCGGCCACACUGGGACUGAGACACGGCCCAGACUCCUACGGGAGGCAGCAGUAGGGAAUCUUCCGCAAUGGACGAAAGUCUGACGGAGCAACGCCGCGUGAGUGAUGAAGGUUUUCGGAUCGUAAAGCUCUGUUGUUAGGGAAGAACAAGUGCCGUUCAAAUAGGGCGGCACCUUGACGGUACCUAACCAGAAAGCCACGGCUAACUACGUGCCAGCAGCCGCGGUAAUACGUAGGUGGCAAGCGUUGUCCGGAAUUAUUGGGCGUAAAGGGCUCGCAGGCGGUUUCUUAAGUCUGAUGUGAAAGCCCCCGGCUCAACCGGGGAGGGUCAUUGGAAACUGGGGAACUUGAGUGCAGAAGAGGAGAGUGGAAUUCCACGUGUAGCGGUGAAAUGCGUAGAGAUGUGGAGGAACACCAGUGGCGAAGGCGACUCUCUGGUCUGUAACUGACGCUGAGGAGCGAAAGCGUG
rnacentral:rRNA from 2 species